rnacentral:rRNA from 1 species
CAGCACCUCAAGUGGUCAGGAUGAUUAUUGGGCCUAAAGCAUCCGUAGCCGGCGCUGUAAGUUUUCGGUUAAAUCUGUACGCUCAACGUACAGGCUGCCGGGAAUACUGCAGCGCUAGGGAGUGGGAGAGGUAGACGGUACUCGGUAGGAAGGGGUAAAAUCCUUUGAUCUAUUGAUGACCACCUGUGGCGAAGGCGGUCUACCAGAACACGUCCGACGGUGAGGGAUGAAAGCUGGGGGAGCAAGCCGGAUUAGAUACCCGAGUAGUCC